CCUACGGGAGGCAGCAGUAAGGAAUAUUGCGCAAUGGACGAAAGUCUGACGCAGCAACGCCGCGUGCGGGAAGAAGGGCUUCGGCUCGUAAACCGCUUUUCUGCGGGAAGAGCAAGGACGGUACCGCAGGAAUAAGUCUCGGCUAACUACGUGCCAGCAGCCGCGGUAAAACGUAGGAGGCAAACGUUAUCCGGAUUUACUGGGCGUAAAGCGCGUGCAGGUGGCCUGUUAAGUCGUGCGUGAAAGCUCCCUGGCUCAACCGGGAGAGGUCGUGCGAUACUGACGGGCUGGAGACAGAGAGAGGCAAGUGGAAUUCCGGGUGUAGUGGUGAAAUGCGUAGAUAUCCGGAGGAACACCAGUGGCGAAGGCGGCUUGCUGGCUCUGUUCUGACACUCAGACGCGAAAGCAUGGGGAGCGAACGGGAUUAGAUACCCCGGUA
rnacentral:rRNA from 1 species